UGUGGGAGCUGGCUUGCCUGCGAUAGCGGUGUGUCAGUGAAAAAAUCUAUUUCUGAUACACCGCUAUCGCAGGCAAGCCAGCUCCCACA
rnacentral:misc_RNA from 1 species